rnacentral:rRNA from 1 species
AACGAACGCUGGCGGCGUGGAUAAGACAUGCAAGUCGAGCGCUAAUUUGAAGGUAGCAAUAUUUUCAAGUUGGAGCGGCGCAAGGGUGCGUAACACGUGGGUAAUUUGCCAUGAAGUUUGGGAUAACUCGCUGAAAGGCGAGCUAAUACCGGAUGUGAAAAUCAGAAAGCAUUUUCAGAUUUUUAAAGUUGGGGAUCGUAAGACCUGACGCUUCUUGAUAAGCCCGCGGCCUANCAGCUAGUUGGUGAGGUAAUGGCUCACCAAGGCUAAGACGGGUAGCUGGUCUGAGAGGACGACCAGCCACACUGGAACUGAGACACGGUCCAGACACCUACGGGUGGCAGCAGUCGAGAAUUUUUCUCAAUGGGCGAAAGCCUGAAGGAGCGACGCCGCGUGGGGGAUGAAUGGCUUCGGCCCCGUAAACCCCUGUCA